rnacentral:rRNA from 1 species
GAUGAACGCUGGCGGCGUGCCUAACACACGCAAGUCGAGCGAUUUACUUCGGUAAAGAGCGGCGGACGGGUGAGUAACGCGUGGGUAACCUGCCCUGUACACACGGAUAACAUACUGAAAGGUAUGCUAAUACGGGAUAACAUAAGAGAGUCGCAUGGCUUUCUUAUCAAAGCUUUUGCGGUACAGGAUGGACCCGCGUCUGAUUAGCUAGUUGGUAAGGUAACGGCUUACCAAGGCGACGAUCAGUAGCCGACCUGAGAGGGUGAUCGGCCACAUUGGAACUGAGACACGGUCCAAACUCCUACGGGAGGCAGCAGUGGGAAUAUUGCACAAUGGGCGAAAGCCUGAUGCAGCAACGCCGCGUGAGCGAUGAAGGCCUUCGGGUCGUAAAGCUCUGUCCUCAAGGAAGAUAAUGACGGUACUUGAGGAGGAAGCCCCGGCUAACUACGUGCCAGCCGCCGCGGUAA